rnacentral:miRNA from 14 species
GAGUGAUUGGGAGGGACAGUGAGCUGGAUGUAAAGUGAAUUUUUAAAAAGUAAAGUUCGGGCUGGAGAGAUGGCUCAGCGGUUAAAGGCUAGGCUCACAACCAAAUAUAUA